UGUUGAAACACCAGUUCCCGUACGAUCAUCGAAGUUAAGCAACGUCGAGCCUGAUCAGUACCUAGAUGGGUGACCGCUUGGGAAUACCAGGUACAGUA